UCCCCGCCGCAGGCUGCCGGCCCCAGGCUGGGGGGCGAAGUGUCUCUUAGAAAGGCUCCCCCUCAAGCACGACCAGGAGC
rnacentral:pre_miRNA from 1 species